GCGCCGGUUUUUCAGUAAGUACGUAAAGAUCUUGUGGGAGUGGGGAUAUGGGAGUCUGUUUUGUUCGCAGUAUGAUGCACGUUUUACGUAUUCCAAACAUUUAUUAUGUACUUAACAAAGUUAACGAAAUCAAUGUACUGUGCAGAAGCACUCGCACUGUACGGAAUCAUUAUUUCUCAUAAAAAAAAUUGAGUGUCAUGGAUGUUCCUGAUUGUUUUGUUGUACUCCUGAAUCGGCGUUUUUUCUGGCCGUUAAACCACCAUGCCUGGAUGAGCCAGUUGGAUGACUUUCAAAAGAAGCAUCCAUAAAAUCAUUCCAGUCAUGCUGCUGAUAAUAGCAGCCCGAUGAGGUUCAAUUCAGGUUUUGUGUGGAGUUUAUGCGGAGCGUUUUCUGGAUCAGCUUUCGUCCUGUUAUUGUUAUCCCUGUGCACCAUGGAAGGAGCCCGUUCUUAUGUGUGGCCGAAAGGUCCAAAAAGUCAAGCUCUGCUUUUUCACGAAGGAACACUUAUCGUCAGCUUUGUUUUACUUAUAUUUUUCUUGACUAUUACUGUACUGAGCAUUCACGAAGAUGUCAUGUUAAGCGGUCCAAAUCUGAAAUAUACAAUGUUGGUUAAUUCGGCGUUUUGGACGGUUGUUUUAAUUAUUUCUUGCUCUGUGUUCCUCGCGGAGCAGCAAGAAAAUGUCAAUGCGCGCCACAGAUUGGGAAUAAUUUGCAAUACCCGUUUGCCGGGCGAGCCAGAUGUGCAUAAUUGUAAAGUGACUUAUCCUGCCAAAAAUAUGGAAACAAGUUUAUUUUUGACCUCCAUAGCUUGUGGCGUUUUGGCGGCACUUUGUUUUGCAACAGUAACUGUGAUAUGUCUCCUGGAUUUUACUGGAUCGUUUGUUGUAGCUGGAUUUGAUUCUAGUUAAUCAUACUCAUACAAAGCUUUGACUGUGAUAUUUUUGUGUGUGACGUUUUAACAUUUUAGUUUGUCCUUGGUUUGAUACAGACACAUGUAUAAAAUAUAAUAUGUGGUGGCUAUACUGGAAUUGUAUUUUCAGUUUACUUAACCAGCUGCGCGGCUUAGCUUUCGAACAAAAUUAAUAAAGCUGUUAA